CAGAAAGCCCGAUAUUUUCAACCCGGCUCACCUCUCUAUCGCCAACAUUACAACAGCCCCAACUUCAUCUAUUCUUUCUCACCACAAAUCAACUCCACAUGCUGCGAAAACACAAAAAGUGUCGGUCCAGCGACCAUGAUGAACGAGACGCGAUGGAAGUAGCGUACAGUCGUCUUCUGCGCUCACAUGUUUUCAGCAGCUAAAGCAGCUGCUAUGGCUGCAGAUUCAUCCUUGUGACCUUUAGAUUGAGGCACGUAGUGUCUCAAGGACGUUUGAUCGAUCCCAAGCAUCCACUUCCCCUUUCCCAUUUCAGAAUAGGGUCGAAAAUCCCAAAAAGGUUGGUCUAUACAUUUUGAUAAAAGUUUUGGGGGUGUUUUUUUUGUAAUUGAAAGUGAAUUAUGGAAUUUCCAUGGAUACCCUUUUCCCUCCAAAAAUUGGUUACACUAAUAUUCCUCCUAUAUAUUUUCUCUUCAUCUCGUUGAUAGAACUAAGGGGAGACGGAAAAAGAAGAGAAGCUGUUUGAGAAAAGAUUUCUUUGAGAAAAGUUUUUCUUCAGUAGAACAUUGCCUGGCAAGAAGAUAGCAAGAAAGACAGUAAAGAAAGUUAAAAAAAUUAUACACUAAAUGCAUCUGAAAGAGAGGAGUGAAUAGCUUAGAGCUUAGUUUAGUUUCACAUCCAAACUUCCGUUUUCUUGGUCGGAAACUCAAGUUUUUCAAUCUGGCGGUGAGAAACUCGUCUUCUUCAACUCGAAUUCUCGUCCCCAUUCGCUACCCAGAAAAAGGUAAUACUUCUUGGUGUAGUAUUUUGAUGUUAGCAAAGCUUUUUCAUAUGGCUGUUUGGGUUAGAUACUGAUGUUAGCGAAGCUUUUUCAUAUGGCUGUUUGGGUUAGAUACUGUUAGUUUGUUGAUAUUUAGAUAUGGUUUAUAUGUUCCUAGUUAUUCCAUCGCUUUGCUCAUGAUAUUGAGUCAAAUUCAUGGGUUUAUGGCUCAAUAUUAUGAUUUUAGUUCAUUGAGAUUGAGUCUGCUGCCAUUUUCUUGUACUGCCAAUAUUGUUAGUUGGCGAGAAAUGAAGCAAAAAAAUUUGAAAUUUGUUGUUGCAAAAGCUGUUUUUUAUGUUAUUAACUAGGCAUAGAAUACAAUGGCUCAUUCUUCCCCAUCUGUUGAUUAUCCGUCUACUUUUUAUUUUGUUCCAAGUUUUUCUUGUGCUUAGCCUCAUUUCAAGGUAGUCUAAAUAUUUUGUUUAAGCUUUGGAGUUCAACGGCUUCUUCUUUGUUUCCACUUUGUGUUUUUUUAAUUUUUUUUAAAGAUGGUUAACAAACAUUAUAAUCGAGUUGAAUUUUUUUCUCUCUUCAUCAAAAUGUGAUCAUAUUUCUUUGAAUUUGAUGGUUUUAUGAGUCGUUUUAUUGUAAAGUUCUUCAUUGACCUUGAGCACGAUUAACAACGGCUUGUUGUUGAUUGAUUCAAUUAGGGUCAUGCUCGGACUUACGCGCUUACUGUGAAUGUUCUCUUUAUAUCUAUACUCGUUUUCUUACCUAGUCUAUUUACUUAUGCAUAGGCAUACAUAUUCUUAAUUUUUUUCUUUUUCUCCAAGCCUGGACUUUAAAUAAGUUUUGGGUAGGAUUCUUAAGCUAAUAAUAGUUUUUGAUUAUCUCGAUAUUUAGUUUUCUUGUUACUUUUAAAUCAACACUAACUGUGGAAUGUUUAUUGCUUAAUUAUCAGUGAUUCAUUUUUGUGUCGUUAAAAAUCUAACAAUAGACAUUUACAAUAUCUUUUCCGAUCUGUGGUUUAUUUUCAGUUUAUUUCAUUAAUCUCGUAUGCUAAUUUUCUAUUUUAUUUCCUCUGUUGUUAUGAAAAUUUACUCCCGGCUUGCAAUGAAUUCCAUUUCCCUUCCUUGAAUCCUCUUGUAGAGGCGAUGUUGAAACCUUUAUCCAGUCAAUCAUCCAAAAUCGGCGGACAGAUUUUGGAGUAGAAAUAGCUUGAACAAGUCGAAGAAAUUGAAGGAUUUGUGUUAGAGAGUCCAAAAGUUCUUUUUUAUUUUCUAAGUUGUCAUGUUUUGUCGUUUUUGGGCCUAAGCCCUUGUCGUUUUGUCUUCCAUAUUUUGUAUUGUUGUAUGAUUAUAGACUAGAACAUGUACAAAAUAAAGUGAACCAAAAGCCCAAAACAAAGCGGGUCCAAAUACCGAUCCAGGCGGACAGAAAUUGGAUUUAGACACAAUCCUCUCUCUCUCUCUCUCUUUACUCUAUCAUUUACUUAUCUGCUUUUAUUUGUUUCUAGUUCUAAGGUCAGAUCCAAAUCCUCGCAAACGUCAUAAUGUUUUAUCAACCCAAAAUUGAAUCAAAUGUAAAUAGGUUUUUCUUCAAAAUAAAAGACGAAUAAACUAGCAAACCAAAUCUUACUUGGUUAUUAAAAUUAAUACUUCUUUUACAUAAAUAACUUCAGAUAAAGUUAUAGCUUAAAACUUUUAAAUCUUUUAGCCGAAUAACAUUAGUUGAUUGGAAAAUCGCAUUAGCGAAUAUUUUAGGUGUCGUAAAAAUCUUCCUAAAAUAUAAAUAACAAUCCCCGGACCCCUUUAAAGUUUUCAAAAUGAUUUUUCUAUUUAAGUAUUUCGAAAACAAAAGUUUUCUUGAUUUUUCUUUAAUAAUUAAGUGGUGACUCUAAAAAAUUAAAAAUGAAUUAAAACAUAUAUUUUACCGAAAAUGUAUAAGAUAGAAAUGGCGACUCACCAAGGGAUUUAGAGGAUUCUAACCUUAAAACUAACGUAUUGCAUUCAUGGCAUAUCACAACUCCGUCAAAUGAUGAUUAUUUUUAUUUACCACUUACAGGACGAUUAUGCAGGUUCACAGUCUUUCAUUAACCAAAUCUUUCUUGGGGCACCAUGAUGAAUGUAGUUGGCUACUUGAUACUCAACGGUCGUUAAUUUUCCCAACCCAAGUAGUUCGUUUGGGUUACCCUUUCCACUAUAAAUACAACACACUCCUAGUUAAACUAAAAUAAAGCGAAACCAAAUCCUGAAAAGUAGCGCAUUGGCCUAAGAUGACUCAACACCCAAGGAGUGUUGGGCCCAUUCGAAAGAUCGCCUUGAGUCCAAAAAGCCCACAACUCGAUAGGAAGAUCAUAUUUAUGUGCUGAAUUUGAAAGAUGUUUGUGUGUUUAACUGUUUGUGGUGUUCUAGGGGUAGAAACAAACUAGUUGUAUGUUUUUGUAGAUGCCGAGUCAAUUUCUCAGUUUCAAUAUGGUCACCAAGACACCAGACAUUCUUCGCAUAUGGUGGAACAAUCUUAAAGCUUGUCAAAAGAGGGAAAUCUCGAUCCAGUGAUAUACCAUGGUUUCACAGUAUAAUUAAUACUUUUUCCUUAAGUUUAGUGUGUCCGAAAGUCUUUUUGUGCUAAUUUUUAUAUAAGUUUCUCUUUGUUUUGCAGGAAAUCUGUCCAAAGCUGAAUGCGGAGAUUUUGAGCAAAAAAAUGCAGAAGAGACC
rnacentral:lncRNA from 1 species